rnacentral:lncRNA from 1 species
CCCUUGUCCAGUCUGGCUUCUCUUGCUCCCCUGCCGGUGUUGAUCUGAGAGCUCGCCCCACACAAAUCUCUUGCACACACAUCAGUCACAGAGUCAGCUUCCUGGGGAGCUCAACCUAUGACCUAUCAUCUUUAGCUGUGUAUUAAUGCCUUGAAUAACAUCUCUGGCCUACCACAGAAGUUCCUGAAUAUCCAGGGAGAGGCAAUUUCUUCUGUAUCUCCAUCCUAAUGAUGUGUCUGCUUGGCAUUGGUCUGGUUCCUUCAGGACCUCAGAAGCUGUAUUGGUUCAAUGAAUGCUAAAUAUCCCAGGAGCCUGAUCUUUUAAGAGUUCAAAGAGUUCAUGGGACACAUAUGGGUAGCCCAGCACUGAUUAUACCCAUGAAAUUAAGAAGCUUGUCCCUUGUCCCUAAAGCAAUUGUCCCAGGUGUUAGUGUGAUCUCAGGACCCAGUACUUAGUCUUAUCCAAGACUAUAGGAGCAGUUCAACAGUGCAGCAAGAAGGAGGAGCUCCCACCUCAGGAUGUGUCCAUGUUUUCCAGUUGUCUGCCAGUUGCCGGUUGUCUGACCUGUGAAUAGAAGCUCAACUGAGAGUACUCUCCAAUCUUCCAACUGGCUGUUUGCCUGAAGCUGAUAAUGGAUGAUGAUAGUAACUCAGAUAAAGCUCCCAAUAAAUCUUCAUUAUCC